GUAUGACAACACGUGUGUGACCGCCUUUUUCAAACGCGGAAAUUGUAUAAUUAUCCUGGACAAUAUUUAGGACCGUUUUCAGCAAAGAAGAAUUCAUACAAAUGUAUUAGAGACAGAACAGUAACUUAGGGAAAAGACAGAUCAGUAACUUAGGAAAGAAAGAUUUAAGGAUAAAAGUAAUAGCUGUCAAGGAAGAGUAAUGGAGGCCUACACAAAGAUAACAGAAGCUGAAUUAAAGAAGGAUUGUGCACUAGAAAUGGUUGGAGGAGUAGAGACUACAAUUCAUUUUCACGAAAAUAAUAAAAAUUGAUUAAGAGA